CGGGUGAGUAAUGUAUGGGGAUCUGCCUGAUGGCGGGGGAUAACUACUGGAAACGGUAGCUAAUACCGCAUAAUGUCUGCGGACCAAAGCGGGGGACCUCCGGGCCUCGCGCCAUCAGAUGAACCCAUAUGGGAUUAGCUAGUAGGUAAGGUAACGGCUUACCUAGGCGACGAUCCCUAGCUGGUCUGAGAGGAUGAUCAGCCACACUAGGACUGAGACACGGCCCAG
rnacentral:rRNA from 1 species